rnacentral:rRNA from 1 species
GAUGCAGCGACGCCGCGUGAGGGAUGACGGCCUUCGGGUUGUAAACCUCUUUCAGCAGGGAAGAAGCGAAAGUGACGGUACCUGCAGAAGAAGCGCCGGCUAACUACGUGCCAGCAGCCGCGGUAAUACGUAGGGCGCAAGCGUUGUCCGGAAUUAUUGGGCGUAAAGAGCUCGUAGGCGGCUUGUCACGUCGGAUGUGAAAGCCCGGGGCUUAACCCCGGGUCUGCAUUCGAUACGGGCUAGCUAGAGUGUGGUAGGGGAGAUCGGAAUUCCUGGUGUAGCGGUGAAAUGCGCAGAUAUCAGGAGGAACACCGGUGGCGAAGGCGGAUCUCUGGGCCAUUACUGACGCUGAGGAGCGAAAGCGUGGGGAGCGAACAGGAUUAGAUACCCUGGUAGUCCACGCCGUAAACGUUGGGAACUAGGUGUUGGCGACAUUCCACGUCGUCGGUGCCGCAGCUAACGCAUUAAGUUCCCCGCCUGGGGAGUACGGCCGCAAGGCUAAAACUCAAAGGAAUUGACGGGGGCCCGCACAAGCAGCGGAGCAUGUGGCUUAAUUCGACGCAACGCGAAGAACCUUACCAAGGCUUGACAUAUACCGGAAAGCAUCAGAGAUGGUGCCCCCCUUGUGGUCGGUAUACAGGUGGUGCAUGGCUGUC